rnacentral:tRNA from 1 species
GCCCCGGUAGCUCAAUCGGUAGAGCAACUCACUUGUAAUGAGAAGGUUGAGGGUUCAAUUCCUUUCCGGGGCUCCA